rnacentral:rRNA from 1 species
AUGCCGUGCGCGCGGGCCGAGGACGCGCUCCCCUCCGCCGCCGCCGCCGCCGACAUGGUCUCCGCCGCCCUGAUCCAGAAGGCGGCCGGCGCCGGCGGACGGAGGCCCGCCGAGCCAGGCCGCGCGCUGCAGCGCACGCCGCACGUGUCCGCGGGGGACGUCGACGCGCCGGCGCCGGCGCCGGCGGCCAGCUGCUCCGGGGAUGAUGGCAAGGGCAGCCGCAGCGGGAGGAGAGAGGAGAGCCGCCGGGGCAGGACGUGGAGCUACCGGUCGGAGCUCGAGCAGGAAGUCAAGAAACUGCAGAGGCAGCUCGAGAAAGAGAUCGAGUUGCACGUGGCGUUGGCGGACGCCGUCACGCAGAACGCGCCGCCGCCUGCAUUGAAUUCUUCUGCCAAGAUCCCACCUGAGACACAGGAGCUACUAGUGAACAUUGCCUCCCUGGAGGGUGCCGUUUCGAACCUCGAAAAGGAGUUAAAUGAUCUGUAUUACCAGCUUUGUCAUGAGAGGAAUGAACGGCUACUUGCCGAAAAUAACCCAGGAGGCUUGCCAUCUGCGUCCUCAGAUGACCGCUCGCUGUCAACUUGCACGUGUACAUGGGAAGAACACAUAUCAUCGUUGAGGGAUUUGAAGUUUGGAGGAUCCGAGUCAAUGAGAUCAAUGCAACAAGAUUUACUCACAGAACUUGAAUAUGACCAGGAUCUUGGAGAAGAAUCCGAAGAUAGACAAAUGGUUUCCCUAAAUAGGCUGCUUGAGAAACACCAAGAUAUCUCUUUAAAUGGACUGUUGGAAAAGCACCGGGAUGAAGAGAUGCAAGGAUCGUGCUCGGUGGAAAAUCAAGGCAAAGAAGAUGAGAAGAUCGAUGAUUUAUCAUUUGAACAGUCCAUUCAAAAGUUAACUAGCAUGAAAGCAGGAAAUCUUUGGAACUAUCCAAAUCAGCUAUCAGAGGAGAUGGUGCGCUGCAUGAGAAACAUUUUCCUCCGUUUAUCUGAAUCCUCCAAGAUAUCUGGGAAGGCAUCUUCUGAUUGUUCAUCUUCCUCAGCGGAGCGUCUAUCUGGUUCUACACUGGCAUCCUUCUCAGAUACAUCCAUAAUACCCUCGAUGCUACGGAGUUCUUCGGUUGACUCCUAUCACAAUGAUGAGAUGAUGAAUAAAGCAAGAAACUUUGACCCGUAUAAAGUUAGUGGAAAGGGAACCCGUAGAGACAUCGGAAACUACUGUUCAGCAGCUGAAGUAUCUUGGAUGUCGGUUGGAAAGGAGCAACUUGAAUAUGCAUCUGAAGCUCUAAAAAAGUUCAGAUUUCUUGUGGAGCAGCUAUCAAAAGUUAACCCUAAUUGUUUGAACUCUGAUGAGCGGCUAGCCUUUUGGAUUAACUUGUAUAAUGCGCUGAUAAUGCAUUCAUACCUAGCAUACGGAGUUCCCCGGAAUGACAUCAAGCUUUUCUCUCUAAUGCAAAAGGCCUGUUACACAGUUGGUGGGCAGUCGUUCAGUGCAGCUGAAAUAGAGUAUGUGAUACUAAAGAUGAAGACUCCAGUGCACCGGCCCCAACUUUCUUUGAUGUUGGCUCUUCAGAAGUUCAAAAUUUCUGAGGGGCACAAGAAGUAUUCGAUCGAUCAAGCUGAGCCCCUUCUGCUGUUUGGUCUCAGUUGUGGAAUGUUGUCUUCACCAGCUGUAAGAAUCUUCACUGCAGCAAACGUCAGGAACGAGCUUCUGGAGUCAUUGAGAGACUACAUCCAAGCUUCCGUCGGCAUAAGUGACCGAGGGAAACUACUGAUCCCAAAGCUACUGCAGAGUUACGCCAAGGGGGCCGUCGAAGACUCCCUGUUCACGGACUGGAUCUGCCAUCACCUCUCACCUGAACAAGUAGCAGCCAUCCGAGAGUAUUCCUCUCAGAGGAGGCAGCGGCUUCUCGGGGCACGCAGUUUCACCGUGGUCGCGUUCGACUCGAAAUUCCGGUACCUGUUCUUGCCUGACAGCAGUGGCUCCCAGAAGCCACAACACAGAACAGGCUCCCUAGGCUGA